rnacentral:tRNA from 1 species
CGCCAGAUAGCUCAGUUAGAAGAGUACCUGACUAGAUAUUCAGGGGGCCCGGGUUCAAAACCCGGUCUGGUCU